rnacentral:tRNA from 1 species
GCGCCCUUCGUCUAUCGGUUAGGACAUCUGCCUUUCACGCAGAAAAGAGGGGUUCGACUCCCCUAGGGCGCGCCA